UACGAGGUGUGCGAGCGUUGUUCGGGAUCACUGGGCAUAAAGGGUGCGUAGGCGGUGCGCCAAGUCGGGUGUGAAAUCCCUUCGCUUAACGGAGGAAUUGCAUUCGAUACUAGCGUGCUAGAGGGUAAAAGGGGCAAGCGGAAUUCUAGGUGUAGCGGUGGAAUGCGUAGAUAUCUGGGAGAACGCCGAGGGCGAAGGCAGCUUGCUGGGUUACUUCUGACGCUGAGGCACGAAAGCUAGGGGAGCAAACAGGAUUAGAUACCCUGGUAGUCCUAGCCGUAAACGAUGAGCACUUUGUUCCGGGAGGCCUGAUCCUCUCGGAGCCGUAGCUAAUGUGUUAAGUGCUCCGCCUGGGGAGUAUGGUCGCAAGGCUAAA
rnacentral:rRNA from 1 species